UACGGAGGAUGCGAGCGUUAUCCGGAUUUAUUGGGUUUAAAGGGUGCGUAGGCGGGAUGCCAAGUCAGCGGUAAAAAUGCGGUGCUCAACGCCGUCGAGCCGUUGAAACUGGGUGCCUUGAGUGGGCGAGAAGUACGCGGAAUGCGUGGUGUAGCGGUGAAAUGCAUAGAUAUCACGCAGAACUCCGAUUGCGAAGGCAGCGUACCGGCGCCCUACUGACGCUGAAGCACGAAGGCGUGGGUAUCGAACAGG
rnacentral:rRNA from 1 species